GGGACCAGCAGUGCGAGGCCAUGCUUGGAAUUUCUUGUCUGUUUCUUUCCACCAGUCGGUGUUGGUAACGGUGCUUGGAGUAGUACCUCCAAACAAUUUCCCGUCAGAAAUAACAGUGUCACAAACAUAUGCAACGACAAAAGAUCCAGCGAUAGAACCAAUUAUGUACUUGGUAGCCAUCUUGGAGCUCCUAAAACGUGAUAAAGAGCAGAG
rnacentral:misc_RNA from 1 species